AGAACGAACGCUGGCGGCAUGCCUAAUACAUGCAAGUCGAACGAACACUUCGGUGUUCGUGGCGCACGGGUGCGUAACGCGUGGGAAUCUGCCCUUGGGUUCGGAAUAACAGUUGGAAACGACUGCUAAUACCGGAUGAUAUCGAAAGAUCAAAGAUUUAUCGCCCAGGGAUGAGCCCGCGUAGGAUUAGCUAGUUGGUGGAGG
rnacentral:rRNA from 1 species